rnacentral:rRNA from 1 species
AACGAACGCUGGCGGCAUGCCUAACACAUGCAAGUCGAGCGAGGUAGCAAUACCUAGCGGCGGACGGGUGAGUAACGCGUGGGAACGUACCCUUUGCUACGGAAUAGCCCCGGGAAACUGGGAGUAAUACCGUAUGUGCCCUUCGGGGGAAAGAUUUAUCGGCAAAGGAUCGGCCCGCGUUGGAUUAGGUAGUUGGUGGGGUAAUGGCCUACCAAGCCGACGAUCCAUAGCUGGUUUGAGAGGAUGAUCAGCCACACUGGGACUGAGACACGGCCCAGACUCCUACGGGAGGCAGCAGUGGGGAAUCUUAGACAAUGGGCGCAAGCCUGAUCUAGCCAUGCCGCGUGAGUGAUGAAGGCCUUAGGGUUGUAAAGCUCUUUCAGAUGGGAAGAUAAUGACGGUACCAUCAGAAGAAGCCCCGGCUAACUCCGUG